rnacentral:lncRNA from 1 species
CCUACAGUAGCGUUAUAUGCUUUUUUAUUUCUUUUUGCCUUUUUAGCUGCUAAGCUAGGUAACAGUCAUUGCAAAGUGCACAUUUGUAAAUGAUUUCUCCUGAGGAUCACUGCUGAGCCACCCAUGGAGUGUGCCUUGAGGAGGGAUGUGUCAUGUGGAAUCUAGGACCAUCCAGCAAGGAUGAUUGCCUGGUCACAUGGCUGGAACAGUCAGACUCUUAACAGCAUUCCCCUAAAAGCAAGUCUUGGGUUUCUUUUCAUCUAUUUUCAUUUUCAUUCCCAAAUGAGUGAUGACAUACUUCUGUCUUUUCUGCGCAUCUCAGGGAGUUGAGCUGUCAAGUCAGUUUGGCCAACCUGCUUAUGAGUUAACGAAAACAAAUAGAAUUUGGUUUGCUAGCUACCCAAAUUUUUAAAAGUUCUGGUUUUCAGUUUAUGAUUUUAUAGUAUAAAGAGUUUCCUGGACCUUUUCACAGGUGUUUUUCAGUAUUCUACUCUAUGCGGACUUGAUUUCAUUGCUUACUUCCUAUGACGCAGACAGCAGUUGAGCAAGCUGGGCGCAGAGGUCCACACUUCUAAUCUCUGGGCUUGGGAGACUGAGGGGGCUAAGGCACGAGAGGCUCAAGGUUGAGGCCAGCCUAAGUUGAGCUACACUGUCUAUUCUGUCUCAACAUUUUAAAGAAGAAAAAUCAGCUGAAUAGAGAUAAACCUUUUAACUACAAAGCCUGCGCCAGUGAUCAUUAAAUACAAGCUCACUUUUUUUCUGUUUAAGUGGUACAUAAUAUUUUACAUUUGACAAAUUAGAAAGCCACUUAGAGUUGAUUAGUGUGACUGGUUCUUUUUAUCAGAAUUGUUUUCCCUUUACCCAUUCAGCAAAAUCAUUAAGAGACUAAAACUAAAUUCAUUGUGUUUGGUCGUCUUUCCUCACUGAACAUUUUAUUAAAAUCAUGUAGAAGCUGACUGUGGUUGUUUGCACCCACAUUACCAAACAAACACUCAGGCAGGAGGCUCCAAAGCGGCUUAGGCAACUUAGUGAGAACCCAGCUCAGAAGGAAUAGAAGAUUUCCAGCCUAAACCGGGGAGAGGGAACCAACUGCAGGUGGGAAGGGGACUGGGAUGGGAUUUUGGGAAGGGAUGAGAAAUUAUAAUGACUGAAGAUGCCAUAAUAAAACCCAUUACUUGGUCCCCUAAUCCAAGAAAUUCAGAAAGAAAGAAAGAAAAUGUCUGCACAUAGAUUUUGAGCUUGUCAGAGAGCCAAGUUUUGAAUUAAAAAAUUGAGUUACAACUUGUAAUUCAUGCCUCAGAGUGUGGCUCUUCCCAGGUGAAGUUGCAAGACCUCAGACUAUGCCCCUGUGACUUAAUUUUAUGUCCUUCCCUGUUUACUGUGUCUGACCUUCAAGAUUUCGUGACUGAUGCUGAAGUGGAAGCCAGCCAGUGCAAACGUUUGGGGAAAUAACAUCUGAAGAAUGCAAAGGGAAAUAGGAAUUCCUCUAGCGUUCCCAUCCUGCCUUGUCCUGCCUGCCUUCCACUCAACAGGGAGAGGAAAAGACCCGGGCUCAUGGAAUUUUCCAGCUCAGCGUUACAGCUGUUUGGUGUUCUUAGGAAAGGUACUGAGAAGGGGAUCCAGGGUUCUGGCUUUGAAAGGCUCCAGACAGGCUCAUGGUGUGCAGACACACAUGCAAGCAGAACUCUCAUACACAGAAACCUGGAAUCUUUAAAGUUCAUGGAGAGCUGUGGCAAUGCAGCAAGUCCCAGCUGUGGUGAGUCCUUCCUUGUGUGUGUUCUGUCCUCUGUGUAUAUGCUUUUAAACUUGUUAGUGUCGGAGGGUCCACUAGGAUUUCAUUUGCAUUUGAUAGGAACAAAUACAUUGUGUGUGUGUGGGGGGGGGAUAGUGGUUUCUGUUAACAUUCAUUUAUUUUGUUA